GUUCCCUCGCGAUUGGAAGCUCCUGUAGACGCAUAGGAUUUCAAAACAUCGUGACGCGAAAUGCCACAAAAAGCUGUUUGUGAGAAGGUCUUAGGGAGUUAUGGGGGCCUCUCGACUUCUUUUAAGCUGUCUCAGACUUAGGAGCUACUUUUAGCAUUACAAUUCUUUGUGAACACGGCCCCUGA